rnacentral:rRNA from 1 species
AGUGAACGCUGGCGGUAGGCCUAACACAUGCAAGUCGAACGGCAGCACAGUAAGAGCUUGCUCUUACGGGUGGCGAGUGGCGGACGGGUGAGGAAUACAUCGGAAUCUACUUUUUCGUGGGGGAUAACGUAGGGAAACUUACGCUAAUACCGCAUACGACCUACGGGUGAAAGCAGGGGAUCUUCGGACCUUGCGCGAUUGAAUGAGCCGAUGUCGGAUUAGCUAGUUGGCGGGGUAAAGGCCCACCAAGGCGACGAUCCGUAGCUGGUCUGAGAGGAUGAUCAGCCACACUGGAACUGAGACACGGCCCAGACUCCUACGGGAGGCAGCAGUGGGGAAUGUUGGACAAUGGGCGCAAGCCUGAUCCAGCCAUACCGCGUGGGUGAAGAAGGCCUUCGGGUUGUAAAGCCCUUUUGUUGGGAAAGAAAAGCAGCAGGUUAAUACCCCGCUGUUCUGACGGUACCCAAAGAAUAAGCACCGGCUAACUUCGUG